rnacentral:rRNA from 1 species
AACGAACGCUGGCGGCAUGCCUAACACAUGCAAGUCGAACGAGACCUUCGGGUCUAGUGGCGCACGGGUGCGUAACGCGUGGGAACCUGCCCUUAGGUUCGGAAUAACUCCCCGAAAGGGGUGCUAAUACCGGAUAAUGUCUUCGGACCAAAGAUUUAUCGCCUUUGGAUGGGCCCGCGUUGGAUUAGCUAGUUGGUAGGGUAAAAGCCUACCAAGGCGACGAUCCAUAGCUGGUCUGAGAGGAUGAUCAGCCACACUGGGACUGAGACACGGCCCAGACCCCUGAGGGGGGGCGGAGGGGGGGAUAUUUGGCAAUGGGGCGAAACCCGAACCCGCCAAGGCCGGGUAGUUGAUAAAGGCUUUGGGUUGGAAAUCCCCUUUAACCCGGGGUAAAAUGACGGUACCCGGAAAAGAAGCACCGGCUAACUCCGGG